GCCCGCGUGGCGCAAUUGGUCGACGCAUCUGGUUUAGGUCCAGACGACUGCUCUGCAGUUUUGGGGGUUCGAGUCCCCCCGUGGGCACCA
rnacentral:tRNA from 1 species